CAUAGUGAUCCGGUGGUUCUGAAUGGAAGGGCCAUCGCUCAACGGAUAAAAGGUACUCCGGGGAUAACAGGCUGAUACCGCCCAAGAGUUCAUAUCGACGGCGGUGUUUGGCACCUCGAUGUCGGCUCAUCACAUCCUGGGGCUGAAGUAGGUCCCAAGGGUAUGGCUGUUCGCCAUUUAAAGUGGUACGCGAGCUGGGUUUAGAACGUCGUGAGACAGUUCGGUCCCUAUCUGCCGUGGGCGCUGGAGAACUGAGGGGGGCUGCUCCUAGUACGAGAGGACCGGAGUGGACGCAUCACUGGUGUUCGGGUUGUCAUGCCAAUGGCACUGCCCGGUAGCUAAAUGCGGAAGAGAUAAGUGCUGAAAGCAUCUAAGCACGAAACUUGCCCCGAGAUGAGUUCUCCCUGACCCUUUAAGGGUCCUGAAGGAACGUUGAAGACGACGACGUUGAUAGGCCGGGUGUGUAAGCGCAGCGAUGCGUUGAGCUAACCGGUACUAAUGAACCGUGAGGCUUAACCUUACAACGCCGAAG
rnacentral:rRNA from 1 species